rnacentral:rRNA from 1 species
GACCUCGGAUCAGGUAGGAAUACCCGCUGAACUUAAGCAUAUCAAUAAGCCGG